CGCCUCUGGGCCGUGUGAAUAGCUGGAGAGGGAGGCUGAGCCCUAUUCUUGUCUAUAGUGAAAGGGGCCUAGGGAGAGAGAGGACAAAGUUUGCAGAUUGCAGCAAAACUCCAGCGAGGAAUCGACGAUACAGUGAGUCUGACUUCCCUGUGUAUAAAGGCCUGAAACUCCCGAGUGCCCAGCAGUGGGACAGAGUCUUGCAUGAAGAUGUCCAACACAGUCUUUUCUGGUGCAGUUGGGCCACUGAGAGCCGCAGCUCUGUCUAUAUCUCGCCAUCGCCUUCCCUUGCUCUGUGCCGCCGGCCUUGGGCUCACGGCUGUGGCUUCCUGGAUGUGGUGGCGGAAACGACAAGGUGAGGCUGAGGAUCUGCAACAGGUUGGCAUCGUGUCUCAGCUUCUGAUUUACCCAGUGAAGUCCUGCCGUGCCGUGCCUGUGCAGGAGGCUGAAUGUUCUGCUCUAGGUCUGAAGAGUGGGCAUCUUGAGGACAGACAUUGGCUAGUAGUGACCGAGGAGGGGAACAUGGUGACUGCCAGACAGGAGCCUAGGAUGGUCCUCAUCUCAGCAACUUUUUGUGGUAACACUUUGUGCCUUAAUGGUCCAGAAAUGCAGGAGGUUCAGAUUCCAUUGCCACUGCCCAAGAGUAAUCGGGUGCUAGACUGCAGGGUAUUUGGACAAGACAUCCAGGGUAGAGACUCUGGUGAGCAGGCUUCUGAAUGGCUGGCCACCUAUUUCCAGAGCAGCCAACCCUACCGCUUAGUUCAUUUUGAGGCUGAUGUCAUGCGACCACGACAGUCCAAGAAAAAGGAAAAGUUGUUCAGAGAUAAAGACGUCAUCGCUUACCCUGACGCCAGUCCCAUCAUGCUCUUAUCAGAGACCUCCAUGGAGGCUCUCAAUAGUCGCCUUGAACAGCCGGUCUCUUUGGCAAACUUCCGACCAUGCAUUGUGGCAUCUGGGUGCGAGGCCUUUGCAGAGGAUGACUGGGAUGAUGUGAGGCUCGGUGCCACAAGGCUUAAGAGAGUAAUGGCUUGUGGCCGAUGUGUCUUGACCACUGUCAAUCCCAACAGCGGAGUUAUUACCCGCAAGGAGCCACUUGACACCCUGAGAACCUUUCGGCAGAGCGACUCCUCCUUGAAAGAAGUGUACAAGAACGCUCCUCUCUUUGGCCAGUAUUAUGGUGUGGAACAGACCGGCAUAAUACGAGUGGGUGAUCCAGUGUAUCGUGUCACCAGGAAGGGGUAACACUGAGAUGGAAUAAGCCCAAUUUAACCUACGUAACGGCUAUAACUAAAUCUAACAAGGAACUUUUGUAAGGACAGCUCGCAAAGGAUCCAUAACCCUAAUGACCAGAUUAAGGCAUUUAAAUAAAUGAAAAAUGUAGGCUUGUUGGCAACGCUGCUUCCAUCUAUUCUAAAUAUAAUUCCUAAUUACUGUGAGAUGCUCCUAUCAAUCAUGCCCUAUAACCCAAGCACUCUGCAUAAGGACUUCUCCUUUAAGGCCUUCCAAGUACUAAUCUCAUUGACCAGCCAGGUAUGAAAAUUCCUGAUUUGUUAGUCUAUGGGGCAUUGGCAGAUAAGAAAGUAUAGGAGCCAUUUUCUCCUCUUCCUGCUGUAUUUCUGGCCAUUGGCCUGAAUGAAUAGAACAAUAGAAUGGUGGCCAUAUUAUGCUCCUAUAGAACUGCACAAUUUUGGAUCUGCCUGGAAAAUUUAUUGUGAUACUAAUCUUGUUUCUUUUCAACUGUUGAUCCUUAAACUGGACACACAUUAGCGAUUAAUAUCAAUAAAUCAGUUACUAAUGAA